UAAGGGGAAUUUACUGUAGCCCUCUGUUUAUCCAAAGAACAGGUACAGUACAGGUUGCAGCAGUUAACGUUUUCCAACGCAACUUCACCAGUCUGCCUAAAUUGUGACCGGGAGUGGUCACCUAUAGGGGUGAGAUGGUGACAUAGUCUGGGCCAGAUCUUCACCUGGGGUUCA
rnacentral:sRNA from 1 species